GAAAGGGCCAUAAGAACUGCUAAUUCAUAAACCUGAUACUAAUCCUUCAGACCUUUC
rnacentral:tRNA from 1 species